rnacentral:rRNA from 1 species
UGGGGAAUUUUGGUCAAUGGGCGAAAGCCUGAACCAGCAACGCCGCGUGGGUGAUGAAGGCCUUCGGGUUGUAAAGCCCUGUCGGUGGGGACGAAGUCCGGGGUUAACGGCUCCGGUUGACGGUACCCGCAAAGGAAGCACCGGCUAACUCUGUGCCAGCAGCCGCGGUAAUACAGAGGGUGCAAGCGUUGUUCGGAAUUACUGGGCGUAAAGCGCGUGUAGGCGGCGUGCCAAGUCUUGUGUGAAAGCCCUGGGCUCAACCCAGGAAGUGCGCAAGAAACUGGUGUGCUGGAGUGCUGGAGAGGAUGGCGGAAUUCCCGGUGUAGAGGUGAAAUUCGUAGAUAUCGGGAGGAACACCUGUGGCGAAGGCGGCCAUCUGGACAGCAACUGACGCUGAGACGCGAAAGCGUGGGUAGCAAACAGG